CAGGCAGGCCAGGUGAUCGCCGGCGGGUUUACCCGCGGGAGGAAAGUCCGGGCUUCGCAGGGCAGGAUACCGGCUAACGGCCGGCUGGGGUAACCCACGGGAUAGCGCAACAGAAAACAUGUAGCCGAUGGACGGCUUGCCGUCACAGGUCAUAGCGAAAUGGCAGUGUAAGAGACUACCGGUCGACUGGUAACAGGAGGCGCAUUGCAAGCCCUAUCCGAAGCAAGACCAAACAGAAAGCGUUAGAUUUGCCCGAUCUGCUUUCAGGUAGGUUGCUUGAGGCGUAUGGCAACAUACGUCCUAGAAAGAUGAUCACCAAAUACAGAACCCGGCUUAUAGGUCUGCCUGUAAA
rnacentral:RNase_P_RNA from 1 species